CACGUCUUAGCAAAAGUCAUUUGCCUCCCAACUUCCCAGGCCCCAACAAGCGUCUUCUUUCUCUCUCGUUGUAGCUAUUGUUCGUUCCGAAUCUUCCUGUAACUUUGUUCUUAUUUAUCCAGCAGAAAAGAAUUCGAGUUUCGGUUUCCUGCUGCUUCUUGGAUCAAUAGAUCUAAGCUUUGAGUUUCAUUUCUCACUGUUCUUCCGAUUUUGGUUCGUUUUCUUCUGUUCAAUCCAGCAACGCCGUCGUUGUUAAUAUAUCGUAGAUAAAGAAUCUCUAGGUGUCGGUUGUGAUUAGAGUACAAACUACAAAGUAGGAGUUUCGAUGGAAGCCGUGCCUUCCACGCCGCGCAGUAACGGGAGGACGCAGGAUACGGCGGAAUACCUAAAUCGAAACCUUUGUAGGGAAGGAGUCGUUCCCCCUCACCUCGGGUUUCUGACGGAAAUUGCUCGAGCUUCCCUUUACUCUUCAGUGGCCGCAUCACCGAGUUCUUCAAACUUGCGAGCUACUCUGUCGGUACUUGGCUGAGGAGAGCUCUGUUCUGCUGCUGUACUCGUUGGUGCAUGGUAACGCUGAUUUUUUGGAGUAUGUUUUGGUGUGAACUGAUUUGGACACAUUGGUAUGGACUAUGGAAUUGUUGACUGUAAUUUUCCGUCUUUGAAUCACUCCAGAUCUUCUGCAAAAAAAAAAAAAAAGAAAGAUCUCAAGAACUGUUUCCAUUAUUGGCCAUGAUUUUGGAUCAUUUCACUUUUCAAUUAUCCUUGAGAUUAGUCAUUCUGAGGAUAUCCCUUACCUGCAAAAUAACUUCUGAAGUUAAUGGGAGCAAGGUUCGAAGUAUCGAUACGUAUUGGCCCAUAUUGGCCGAUACGUAUCGUGCCGAUGGCUUCCCGAUACACCCCUCCAGGGGUUGUAUUGGGUCAGACACUAGUUCAGAGAGUAGCCGGGCCUUAAACCGACCCCUCUGAGCCAGUUUCGAAAAAAAAUAAACCUAGAAAAAAGUACUGAUACAGGCCGAUACGCCCUACUUUGAACCUUGAAUGGGUGUCUUGACUAAUUUGGAGUAUGUUUUCCAUGGUAAUGGAGUCAACAUCUGAUGCCUGUUCUUGAAACAUUUUAUAAUGCUUUGAGGACAUCUAAUCAAAUCUACAUGUUGCUAAUUAUUCUUCUCAUACUAAGAAUUCAUCUUUCAGUGACAGUAUCACAAGAUGGUAACAAUGGCCUCCAUAAGCUCAGAAUGCACAUAUAUCAGAUUCUGCUUAUAAUUUCCACGUUUUUAUAGAUGCUGCCUAAUAUUCCAUGGUGACGAGAAAACCUCCUCAAUCACACAUCUCUUGGUUCUCUAAUGGUUAUAAUAUCCAUAAGGACCGUCAAGAAUAACCUAAGCUGUGGGUAUGACAUCCAUCGAAGCUGAUUUUUUCAUGUAUCUUCCAGUUUUCUUGGAAUGUUGUAGCAGGAUGCUUGAACAUUGAUGCUUUCUUUUUAUUCCCCUUCCCCUAAUCUUUCUGAAUUUUACCACUUACAUGUUAUGGAAUGCAGCAUGGAUUUCAGUUUGAGCCACAGAACUUGUCAGCAGAUUUCAUAAUCAAUUACACAUCAGCAGAGUUAAAUUUAUGAUCUAUAUUCUGUUGACCUGUAAAAUUGUUAAUGGCAUGUAUACCUCCACACAAAUUGUCUUGCAACUUUGGCAAACAUGGCAGUGGCACCACAUGUUCAUAGGUUGAGUCCGUUUUUUAUAUGACACGUUUUAUUUUGUGUGAAAAUGCAAUGUAACUUUGUUUUACUGGGUUUAAAGUUUCAACCAUCCGGGUAUACCAAAUUAGCAGAACUAAGAAACAAUAAGAUACUAAUAGCUAAAGCCAAUUCAGUAGGAGGUAGCAUUGCGGAAGAUAUGGUAGUUUCUUUUAGUCUUUCUAUAAAUGCUUUGGUCUUAGAAAUUUUAUUUUUUGCCAUUUCCUUCCUAUUAUUUCUUCUUCUAGCUAAAAAUAUUGGGUGCAGUCGACAGAGCUUUACAUUUAUACCGACUUCCUAAGAAUUGUACUGAAAUCUUGAAUGCCAUCCUUAGAUAUGCCUUUACCUUGAAAUCCUGAGAUAUCACCCAUGGAUAUUGUAAUGAUUGAUAUUCCAAAUUAAAUAUAAGGAUAUGCUUACUUUUAUGAAUCUCUUAUUUCUCUAAUUGCAGGUUGUUUAUGCAAUAAUGCACCGUGAGGUCUUUUAGCCUUUCAAGAAUCACCCACACUUUAAUAAGCUGCUUGAAAACAUUUACACUACCCAAAAAAAGGGCAAGGAUCAUGUGGUGAUGUAUUAGAGCUGCUGUUUACUGGAGUAUAUGGGAAGAAAGAAAUUCAAGGAUUUUUUUUCAGAAAAAGGAGAGAAGUCUGGAAGCCGUGCUAUAAGUGAUCCAUAUAAGAUAAUACAUUGGUUGAAAACAUUGGAUUUGUUCACAGAUUUUUCAACAGAUGAUCUGUUAAGAAAAUGGAAAGAAAUUGCAAGUUUAGCCUCAGUUAAGAAGACCUCGAAUUCCAACUGGAACCCACUACCUCUUGGAUUUAUCAAACUGAAUUUUGCUGGCAGCAGUAUGGGAAAUCCAGGGCCUUUGGGUAUUGGGGGGUGCUAAGAGACGAGAAAGGGAGUGUAAUAGCUAUGUUCUCUAAGAGAGAGACUCUUUGAGGGCUGAGGUGUUAGCAACUUUGGAAGGGGUACAAAGGGCUAAGGACCUCCUGAAUGUCAAUAAACUGAUUAUAGAAGGAGAUUCUGAGACUGUAGUGAGCUGGCUAAAAGAAGACACCUCUAGGAUUUGGAGCUACAGCAAUGAAAAGAGAAAAUUCAAGUGGCUGACCAUGGACAUCGAAGUUCAAUGUAUUUGUGUAAAGAGAAAUGCAAAUUCCUUUGCAGAUGGAUUAGCUAGGAAAAAGGUGUUAGAUUUCUUUAAUAGUUGCAUGGAUUCCCAGAAAAUGGAUUCUGAAUGGUCAGUAUGGAAAGUCCUCCAAGUUAUAAUCAUCAAUUGUCAAUCCUGGCAAGGUGAAAGGAUGAAGUUCAUAUACAAGCAUGGAAAUGCAAACUUUUGAAUGGAGCCUUGCACCUUUACAUCUAUUGAUUGGUGCUGUAGAGAGACUGGGCCGAAUGGGCCCUAAUCCUUUAGUGUCAUUCUUAUAAGUUCCUUCUUGUUAUAUUUUCUUAUUGGGCCUUCUUUCUUUAUGGGCCUUUAGCUUCUGUUUUGUUUUUUAAGUGUAUUGCUGAUGUGGAUGCCUACUUAAGGGCCUCCUUGUAAAUUAUGUAACUUAAGUAAAUUUAAUAAAAAGAUUAGAGUAGGGGAAAGAUGUGAUUAUCGAACUCCUCCUUUCUUUCUCCUUUCUUCUCCAUUU